rnacentral:rRNA from 1 species
UCAGCAGCCGCGGUAAUACGGAAGGUCCGGGCGUUAUCCGGAUUUAUUGGGUUUAAAGGGAGCGUAGGCCGUGGAUUAAGCGUGUUGUGAAAUGCAGGUGCUCAACGUCUGCACUGCAGCGCGAACUGGUCCACUUGAGUGUGCGCAACGCAGGCGGAAUUCGUCGUGUAGCGGUGAAAUGCUUAGAUAUGACGAAGAACUCCGAUUGCGAAGGCAGCUUGCGGGAGCACAACUGACGCUGAAGCUCGAAAGUGCGGGUAUCGAACAGGAUUAGAUACCCUGGUAGUCCGCACGGUAAACGAUGGAUGCCCGUUGUCAGGCUGUUUCAGCCUGGUGACCAAGCGAAAGCAUUAAGCAUCCCACCUGGGGAGUACGCCGGCAACGGUGAAACUCAAAGGAAUUGACGGGGGCCCGCACAAGCGGAGGAACAUGUGGUUUAAUUCGAUGAUACGCGAGGAACCUUACCCGGGCUUGAAUUGCAGAGGAAGGAUUUAGAGAUAAUGACGCCCUUCGGGGUCUCUGUGAAGGUGCUGCAUGGUUGUCGUCAGCUCGUGCCGUGAGGUGUUGGCUUAAGUGCCAUAACGAGCGCAACCCCUCUCUUCAGUUGCCAUCAGGUAAUGCUGGGCACUCUGGAGACACUGCCACCGUAAGGUGUGAGGAAGGUGGGGAUGACGUCAAAUCAGCACGGCCCUUACGUCCGGGGCUACGCACGUGUUACAAUGGCCGGUACAGAGGGACGGUGUAAUGCAAAUUGCAUCCAAUCUUGAAAGCCGGUCCCAGUUCGGACUGGGGUCUGCAACCCGACCCCACGAAGCUGGAUUCGCUAGUAAUCGCGCAUCAGCCAUGGCGCGGUGAAUACGUUCCCGGGCCUUGUACACACCGCCCGUCAAGCCAUGAAAGCCGGGGGUGCCUGAAGUCUGUGACCGCAAGGAACGGCCUAGGGCAAAACCGGUGAUUGGGGCUAAGUCGUAACAAGGUAGCCGU